ACCCGAACCUGGGUGAUCUAUCCAUGACCAGGAUAACGCUUGAGUGAAACUAAGUGAAGGUUCGAUCAACUGAUGUUGAAGAAUCAAUGGAUUAGUUGUUGUUGGGGGUGAAAUGCCACUCGCACCCAGAGCUAGCUAG
rnacentral:ncRNA from 1 species